rnacentral:lncRNA from 1 species
UGAAUAUGUUUCUACAUCCAAAUAAACAAAUCUUUUUUUUCCCCUGUAAAAAUGAGUGGGCAAUUAGGUGAGCAGCCAUUCUCACCACCAGAUUUGCCAAGAAGCAGUGCUUGCUGAAUAAGUGCUACGUGAUCACAAAGUUUUGUCCCCAGGUUCCUAAACAAACAGGUUGUCACUGAUUGGUAUUAUUUUAAUAAGUAAUAAGGAAGAAGGCCAGUGAAGGGCUUUUCCUUAACAGGGUUGGGAUCCCAAGGAGGACAGUGGUGGUGAAUUGGGUAAUUCUGCUUAAUUGUACAUUGGAGUGAGACAGAGGAACCUUGGGUCAGCUUCUUAACUCCUCUUCUAAAGGCAAUCAGAAUUGAGGAAAUGGGCCAAGAGCAAUACAAACUAUUCUGUAUCUUCUUUGCAUUGUAGUAUACUCAAAACUGAAACCAAUUGUGCAGUUCAGAAGUGCAGAUAAAGAAAGACACUUUUGUUUUCGUUCGUCACAAGGAAGUAAGAUGAUAGAAAUUGGAGUAUGACACUGCAGGGACAGCAAAAGUUAAGUACCAUGUUGAUUACUAUCUAAUGUGGGAGACGUGGUGAAGUAUGUAAACAUCACUAGCUAGCAGUGGGUUAGGGAACUAUAUUAAUGCUUGAGAAUGCUGAUGUGCUGUUCACUGCUGUGCUAAACAUCCAAUUUGGAAAGAAUUAAGGAAGACUGUAGCAUCAAGUGUUCAGCAGAGUAGUAGCUAAUUACUUUUUCAUGACACAAGAAGCCUAGCAGGGAAUAGUAGCUAUCUAAAACCUGUAAUCUUACAAUUUUUUCCCAGAUAGCGGACAGGCUCAACAAUCUAUUUUGGUGGCAGAAGUUUGUUGCUGGAUGUUAAAGCAAGCUCUCACAGCUAAAGUUCCUGUAAAAUUAUACCAAGAGCAUUACAUGGUUCCAUUCACAGGUUUGCUGAGGACAACAGAGCGCCUGCGGGCAACAGGUAACCUGCUGGGUAUAUGGCAAGUCCCCACAUGUUCUUUUUGCCUAUUAAAAAAUACUAAUUGA